UACAGAGGGUGCAAGCGUUGUUCGGAAUUAUUGGGCGUAAAGGGUGCGUAGGCGGUGCGGUAAGUCUGUAGUGAAAUCUCUGGGCUCAACUCAGAGUCUGCUAUAGAAACUGCCGUGCUUGAGUGUGGGAGAGGUGAGUGGAAUUCCCGGUGUAGCGGUGAAAUGCGCAGAUAUCGGGAAGAACACCCGUGGCGAAGGCGGCACUCUGGGACGGUACUGACGCUGAGACGGCGAAAGCGUGGGGAGCGAACAGGA
rnacentral:rRNA from 1 species